rnacentral:rRNA from 1 species
CUCUGUGACUCCUACGGGAGGCAGCAGUGGGGAAUAUUGCACAAUGGGCGCAAGCCUGAUGCAGCAACGCCGUGUGAGUGAAGAAGGUUUCGGAUCGUAAAACUCUGUCCUAAGGGAAGAAACAAAUGACGGUACCUUAGGAGGAAGCCCCGGCUAACUACGUGCCAGCAGCCGCGGUAAUACGUAGGGGGCAAGCGUUAUCCGGAAUCACUGGGCGUAAAGGGUGCGUAGGCGGCUUAGCAAGCCAGGGGUGAAAGGCAUUGGCUCAACCAAUGUAAGCCUUUGGAACUGUUAAGCUUGAGUGCAGGAGAGGUAAGUGGAAUUCCUAGUGUAGAGGUGAAAUUCGUAGAUAUUAGGAGGAACACCAGUGGCGAAGGCGACUUACUGGACUGUAACUGACGCUGAUGCACGAAAGCGUGGGUAGCGAACAGGAUUAGAUACCCUGGUAG